CUGUGGGCUGGGCUGGGAAGCAGCUUUCAUCCCAGCCUCCUGCUCAG
rnacentral:miRNA from 1 species